CGCCUCAAGAUGAGACUUCCCUGGGCACUUGAUGCCCCUGUAGGGUCGUGGAAGACCACCACGUUGAUAGGUCGGGUGUGGAAGUCCAGUAAUGGAUUAAGCUAACCGAUACUAAUUGCCCGUGAGGCUUGAUCCUAUAACAUUAG
rnacentral:rRNA from 1 species